rnacentral:lncRNA from 1 species
UUGAAUGAAAGUCUAAGUUAUAUCCGCAGCAUUAACUGAUAAUGAAACCAAUGCAAAAAUGCUUGAGACUGAACAGAAAAAAAAAAAAAAGGAUUCGAGAUGUCAUCUUCAUUAUCUCCGUAACCAAAGUUCGUGGAUAUUUGUGAAAAAGAAAAGUCAUUGUCAUUUACCAAUUCAAAAAUGAUAGAUAAAUAUAUUCUCCGGGACCUUGAAUCUAAUGACUUUUCAUGUGUGAUGUAAUUGAAGAGACCCAUUUGUAAUGACAAGCAUUUUUAUAAGAACCACCAAAGGUUUGAUGCAAAGGG